rnacentral:lncRNA from 1 species
AAUUUAAUGUUGCAUAUUAAGUUAUACUUUAUUUAAACAUUAUUUAAUAUAUCCUAUUAAAAAGAUUGAUAUGUUAUUAUGUUGAUGGAUUUAAGAUAUUGAAGUAAAUGAAUAAAUAAAUAGAAAAUUUGUGUUGCUGUAUAUGAUUAUUAACUUUUCUUGAUGGAGGGCAGGACUUUUUCGGGACGUUGGAUUGGGUGUUUUUAAGCUCAGGAUUUUGGGAUCCAGGAUUUUCUUUCGUGAUUUUUUUUUUUAAAUUUGGGACCUCAGAAGAUCAUGUUUUUAGCCCGGGAUUUUGGAAUCAGGACCCCUGCAACAUCCCCCACCUCCUUCUUUGACAUAUAAUAUAAAGUCAUUAAAAAAUAAAUCAAUUACAUGUAUUUACAUCAAAAGUCUAAAAUAAUUUCUUUAUUUUUGUUGAAUCAUAUAAACCUCCUUUUGAUUAUUUAAGAUUAAAAAUAAGAAGGAUUUCAAUUUAAAUGAAAUGAUAACAAACAUCUGAAAACAAUCAUAGUAUAUACAUUAUGAGAUUUUCUCAUGUUUAAAGGCUUUCAUGUAGCAAAAAAAUGCCUAUAUAUCCACUCCAAAUGAGUAUUUUGGGAUAGUUGUCUCAUUGGCAAUUAUUCACAUCUGAUUAGUUUUCCAUUAGUAAAAUUCAAAUAAAAAACAUUCAAUUCCAAUUUAAAUGUGAACCUUCUCAUUCUUGGACCACAUA